rnacentral:tRNA from 1 species
GCGGGUGUAGCUUAGUGGCAGAGUUCCGGCUUCCCAAGCCGGCUGUGUGGGUUCGAUUCCCAUCACCCGCUC